GGGAAUUUUCCGCAAUGGGCGAAAGCCUGAUGGAGCAAUACCGCGUGGAGGAAGACGGCCCGCGGGUCUUAAACUCCUUUUCUCAGAGAAGAAGUUCUGGCGGUAUCUGAGGAAUAAGCUCCGGCUAACUAUGUGCCAGCAGCCGCGGUAAUACAUAGGGAGCAAGCGUUAUCCGGAAUGAUUGGGCGAGCGUCUGUAGGUGGUUCAAAAAGUUUACUGUCAAAUACGAUGGCUCAACCAUCGGCAGGCAGUGGAGUACUAUUGGACUAGAGUUCGGUAGAGGUAGAGGGAAUCCCUAGCGUAACAGUGAAAUGUGUAGAUUUUAGGGAGAACACCAGCGGCGAAGGCGCUCUACUGG
rnacentral:rRNA from 1 species